CCCAGACAGCCAGGAUGUUGGCUUAGAAGCAGCCAUCAUUUAAAGAAAGCGUAAUAGCUCACUGGUCGAGUCGGCCUGCGCGGAAGAUGUAACGGGGCUAAACCAUGCACCGAAGCUGCGGCAGCGACGCUGAUGCGUUGUUGGGUAGGGGAGCGUUCUGUAAGCCUGUGAAGGUGUGUCGUGAGGCAUGCUGGAGGUAUCAGAAGUGCGAAUGCUGACAUAAGUAACGAUAAAGCGGGUGAAAAGCCCGCUCGCCGGAAGACCAAGGGUUCCUGUCCAACGUUAAUCGGGGCAGGGUGAGUCGACCCCUAAGGCGAGGCCGAAAGGCGUAGUCGAUGGGAAACGGGUUAAUAUUCCCGUACUUGGUGUUACUGCGAAGGGGGGACGGAGAAGGCUAUGUUGGCCGGGCGACGGUUGUCCCGGUUUAAGCGUGUAGGUGUGUGUUCCAGGUAAAUCCGGUUCACUUUAACACUGAGGCGUGACGACGAGGCACUACGGUGCUGAAGCAACAAAUGCCCUGCUUCCAGGAAAAGCCUCUAAGCAUCAGGUAACACGAAAUCGUACCCCAAACCGACACAGGUGGUCAGGUAGAGAAUACCAAGGCGCUUGAGAGAACUCGGGUGAAGGAACUAGGCAAAAUGGUGCCGUAACUUCGGGAGAAGGCACGCUGACACGUAGGUGA
rnacentral:rRNA from 2 species